rnacentral:rRNA from 1 species
AUUGAACGCUGGCGGCAGGCUUAACACAUGCAAGUCGAGCGAGCGGCGGACGGGUGAGUAAUGUCUGGGAAACUGCCCGAUGGAGGGGGAUAACUACUGGAAACGGUAGCUAAUACCGCAUACCAUCGGAUGUGCCCAGAUGGGAUUAGCUAGUAGGUGGGGUAACGGCUCACCUAGGCGACGAUCCCUCGCUGGUCUGAGAGGAUGACCAGCCACACUGGAACGGAGAAACGGUCCAGACUCCUACGGGAGGAAGAAGUGGGGAAUAUUGCACAAUGGGCGAAAGCCUGAUGCAGCCAGGCCGCGUGUAUGAAGAAGGCCUUCGGGUUGUAAAGUACUUUAAGCGAGGAGGCGUUACUCGCAGAAGAAGCAACGGCUAACUCCGUGCCAGCAGCCGCGGUAAUAC